rnacentral:rRNA from 1 species
GACGAACGCUGGCGGCGUGCUUAACACAUGCAAGUCGAACGGUGAAGCGCCUUCCUUUUUGGUGGGUGUGGAUGAGUGGCGAACGGGUGAGUAACACGUGAGUAACCUGCCCCCUUCUUCUGGAUAACCGCAUGAAAGUGUGGCUAAUACGGGAUAUUCUGGGUCUGUCGCAUGAUGGGUCUGGGAAAGAUAUUGUUUCGGUGGGGGAUGGGCUCGCGGCCUAUCAGCUGGUUGGUGGGGUGAUGGCCUACCAAGGCGGUGACGGGUAGCCGGCCUGAGAGGGUGGCCGGUCACAGUGGGACUGAGACACGGCUCAGACUCAUACGGGAGGCAGCAGUGGGGAAUAUUGCACAAUGGGCGCAAGCCUGAUGCAGCGACGCCGCGUGAGGGAUGGAGGCCUGCGGGUUGUGAACCUCUUUCGCCAGUGAAGCAGGCCUGCCUCGUUUGUGGGUGGGUUGACGGUAGCUGGAAAAGAAGCGCCGGCUAACUACGUG